rnacentral:piRNA from 1 species
UCACAAUUCAACAUGCUCUUACAUGCAA